rnacentral:snRNA from 1 species
GUGCUCUUUUCAGCAGCACGUGUACUAAAAUUGAAAUGAUAGAUUAGCAUGGCCCCUGUGCAAGGAUGACACACAAAUUCGUGACAUGUUCCAUAUUUUA